AACGAACGCUGGCGGCAUGCCUAACACAUGCAAGUCGAACGAAGCCUUCGGGCUUAGUGGCGCACGGGUGCGUAACACGUGGGAAUCUGCCCUUUGGUUCGGAAUAACAGUUAGAAAUGACUGCUAAUACCGGAUAAUGACGUAAGUCCAAAGAUUUAUCGCCGAAGGAUGAGCCCGCGUAGGAUUAGGUAGUUGGUGGGGUAAUGGCCCACCAAGCCGACGAUCCUUAGCUGGUCUGAGAGGAUGAUCAGCCACACUGGGACUGAGACACGGCCCAGACUCCUACGGGAGGCAGCAGUGGGGAAUAUUGGACAAUGGGCGAAAGCCUGAUCCAGCAAUGCCGCGUGAGUGAUGAAGGCCUUAGGGUUGUAAAGCUCUUUUACCAGGGAUGAUAAUGACAGUACCUGGAGAAUAAAGCUCCGGCUAACUCCGUG
rnacentral:rRNA from 1 species